rnacentral:rRNA from 1 species
UACGCAGGGUGCAAGCGUUAAUCGGAAUUACUGGGCGUAAAGGGUGCGUAGGCGGUUCGUUAAGUCUGUCGUGAAAUCCCCGGGCUCAACCUGGGAAUUGCAAUGGAUACUGGCAGGCUGGAGUAUGGUAGAGGAAGGUGGAAUUCCCGGUGUAGCAGUGAAAUGCGUAGAGAUCGGGAGGAACACCAGUGGCGAAGGCGGCCUUCUGGACCAAUACUGACGCUCAUGCACGAAAGCGUGGGGAGCAAACAGG